UACGUAGGGGGCAAGCGUUGUCCGGAUUUAUUGGGCGUAAAGAGCUCGUAGGCGGUUUGGUAAGUCUGGUGUGAAAUCUCCACGCUCAACGUGGAGGGGCCACCCGAUACUGCCAUGACUGGAGUCCGGUAGAGGAGUGUGGAAUUCCCGGUGUAGCGGUGAAAUGCGCAGAUAUCAGGAGGAACACCGGUGGCGAAGGCGGGUCUCUGGGCCGAUAUUGACGCUGAGGAGCGAAAGCGUGGGGAGCAAACAGG
rnacentral:rRNA from 1 species